CCCGCCUCGGCCUCCCAAAGUGCUGGGAUUACAGGCAUGCGCCACUGUGCCUGGUCACAAAUAUGUUAAUGAGCCAAUUAAGAUGGUGCUGCUCAAAUGAUUCUAAUUCAGGAAACUUAGGUUGCAGCUAGGUAAUCUCUAGUUCUCUAAAGAAUAAUACCCAAAUGACAGGAUUUAUGUGUUGAUGCAAUAAUAGCUCAGUCUGUUUCAUGACCUAGCUAGAGUCAGAAUUGGAGCGGUGGCUAUAGCACAGGGGUGGCUUUCUCCUCUCUGAAGGAAAAGUAAAGAAGUAAGAAGAAAGAGGUUGAAAGAACAGCCUACACAGUUGUUGCCCAGAUCUCAAAAUUAGCAACAAGUAUGUCAGCUGUCCUAAUUAUUACCAAACAGGUCCUGGGAGUGUCUGACACACAACAUAAUAUAGGUGCAAUCAGUUCCAGAAUCUGGUUCCUGGAUCUGAACUAAUUUAGCUAUAAGACCUUCAGCAAGACCAUCUCUAUGGCCUGCAUCUCUCUCCUAUAGGUUUGACAAAGAUUCACCUAUGAGUUUGAUGAAGACAGGCUAGGUAUGGCCCUCAAUAAGAAUUUAUUCUGACUGGGAGAUUUAAAACUGUAAAUGCUUGCCGGGCGUGGUGGCUCACGCCUGUAAUCCCACCACCGCGCCCGGCCAAGAACUUCCUUUUAAGAUUUGCCCUGAAGGGCCCUAGAGCAUUUCCUCUUCCAUGCAGAGAAUCAGAAAGCUUGGAUUCUAGCUCUAGCUCCCAACAAUUAGCUGUAUGUAAUUGAUGAUGGGUGACUUCAUUAGUGUCAAAGCCAAAGCAUAUUCUCUGUCAGCUUUUCAAAAAAACACGCAGUAAAGAGAGAUUCCUACCAGGAAAACUUUGAUGGGUGUUUUUCAAGUGUCAUCUCACAGCAGAAGAUGCCCCAAGUGGUCAAACCUUGCCAACAGCUUCAAAAAAAGGUAACUAGGAUUUAACUUUACGGUGCAUUUUGAUGUUUCCCUUUGUGUCAUAUCUGAUGAUAAAAGAACCUUAAAAAAAAAAAAAAAAAACACUAUCCAGCUUCUCCAUUCUGUCUCCUGCUUUACUUUCUCUUGUUUACAAAAUACAAAUUUAUAGCUGGAUUUGAUGCUGAAAAUUUAAUACAGUUACCUCAUGUCACAGAUAAAGAACAGAAAUGACUUGACCAAGUUCAC
rnacentral:lncRNA from 10 species